rnacentral:misc_RNA from 1 species
UCUCCGUAGGUGAACCUGCGGAGGGAUCAUUAAGAAUUGAACAGCAGUGUCUGGCACUGUUGCCCAUUCUAACCCUUUGUGAACCAACACUGUUGCUUCGGGGGCGACCCUGCCUUUCGGGCAGUGCGCCCCCGGAGGAUAUCAAAACGCUGCAUCUUUGCGUCGGAGUAUCAAUCAAAUUGAACAAAACUUUCAACAACGGAUCUCUUGGUUCUGGCAUCGAUGAAGAACGCAGC